rnacentral:lncRNA from 1 species
GGUGAUUGGCGGAUUGCAAGAGAGGGGAUAUCUUGCUGGAAGUCUUGCUGUCUUUGUUGCCUAUAGUUUAGUUAAGGGUUAGAGAGGAGAUUUAUAUUUUUGAAGUGGAGGUCUUCUAUAAAUUCCUUGUUGUAAAAACCACAACCAUUAUAGUGCAUUUGCUUCCUGGGUUGGAAGGACACUGGAUGUAGGCAUUGUUGGCCGAACCAGUAUAAAAACCAGUGUUUGAUUUUCUCUAUCCCUGCACUUUUACUUUAUAGUCAACUUUACUUCUAGCGCAAUCAACUAUGUUUUUCCGCUGCAUACAAAUUUUCAUUACUUGCAUUUCAAGAAAGUUUGAAAAGUUUGAUACUUUGUUUUCAAGAUUGCGAAAAGACUUUGUUUUUGAUAAACCACCAAUUCACCCCCCU